GAAAGCCGUGGAUUUCUUACCUUAAUUUCAAAUUACAUGCAUAAUAUAAUUAAUAUAAACACCGGUCGACGCGGUAACUACAAAAUCGGACGCGAGGAAAAAUGGGGGCGCGCUGUGAUAGGAAUAAAAAAAACAUGAAGCAAACAAAAAGAAAUGUGGAAAAUGUGAAAAAAUGGGAAAAAAAAGGUGAUUUGGGUAUCGACGAAUGGAACGAGUAAAGAAACCAACAUUUUUAACCGAUACUGGAUGUAUGGAACAAUUUCAUAGUGUAGGAAAUCUUGGCUCGAUGGAAUAAAUAAUUUUGGAUUAUUGUACUGAUGGAAGUGCUUGUUCUACAAUACGAAAAAGUAAAAAGCACAAGAGCUCCCAAAAAGCUGUGAAUUUUUCUGCAGAUACCACCAAUUUUUCCCCAGAGCGAAGAAUUAAGAAGCCCAAGGGCUCCCAAAGUAAAAUUAGCGUUAGCGUUGUACACUUAAAACAAGAGUUGGAAGAUUGACAUUGAUUUGCUUGCGAGAGUGUUGACAGCAAUUUACAAUUUAAUAACUUUCAUUAAAUUAUCUUAGUUAUAAUUGUACCUUACAUAAUCUAAAGGUACGUUUCCUCAUCUUCCAUCAUUGUUAGAAUUAAAAAAAAAACUAAUUGAGCUUAAGCCCGAAAAUGGUCUUUGUCCGCUAAGAAAAAAAUACAUGUAACCAUCCAAAGAAAAGCUAUUUGAAAAUAGUCUAGCGUUUAGGUUCUGCUAAUAAAGGUCUUGUGUGAAUAUUUACUCCGAUGAAGAAGAAUGAAGGAAAUUUGUUAAACGAACUAUUCUAUUCUAUCUUCUUUCUAUUCGUCUGUUGAAAUGCGGUUAAUAUGGGUCGACUAUAAUUUAAUUUUUCUAGAUGUGAUUGUAUUCGGUUUAUCGGUUAGUUCUACAUGCAGAUUUUGGAACUUAGAUGAUAGAAGAGCAAAAGCGACCAAGUCAAGUAUACCCUCAAAACCAUCCUUUGAUCGCAGCCAAAAGCUACAAUACGAUCGCUCAGAUUCACUGCCGGCGGGUUCUUUGCGUACUGUUAUCAUACCACAAAACAACAGAGGUGUUUCUUAAAAUACAGAGACUUGUAGUAUAUUGGCCCGUCUAUUGUGUUACUCUAUGCAGUGUAAAGCUACUAAGAAUAACGAAGCUCACAUGCUCCAAUUUCCGCACUGCUAGAUUAUUGCCAAAUAUAUCUGGCACAAUAAACUUAAUGCAAUUAAAGCAUAUUUUUGUGAGAAAAGCUUUAAAACAUUUAAAUUUUAUUCCCAUUACUUAAGUUUAACCGCGGCUCUAAGUUUUGCCGAACGACUGCAACUGUAGCGCUUUAUUUCUUCUUCGCCGGGAUAAAUAACAUGUCUAUGUAGUUGUUUCCGAUUGCUCGAAUUAAUUGAUUGCAUUAUCUCCCCAUCAUGGACAACAUCAUACCCGCAAUAUUUUACUGGAUUUACUAAGCCGUCAAUGACAUUCCCGUAAAGAUGACGUUUAACUAUAAUCAUUUGCCAGGACCAUGCCGUAGUUAAUUUCAUUUAACUCACUGUUAACGAAGAUACGUAAAGAUUGAGCCGUUUUAGUGGCCACAUGUGUGGGUCGCUGUAAUUUAUCUAAACGAAAAGGAGUGUCAUGCAGGCAACUGGCUACCAAGUCGGCUAAUUGUUUAGUAGUUUCUAUAGGGUGUAGAGCCGAGCGUGUGUGAACAAUGGCGCGAGCUAUAUUCUUAGCAAUGCAAUGCGUCAAUUACGUUUCGUGUCCUAUACCGCCAGUUUACCAAAUUUCAAGAAAAAGUCUCUUGAAUUAAGGGCUAUGGGGUGAAAAGGUGGAACCAAGACGGGCAGUCAGAAAAUGAGCUUGAAUCGAUCGUUGGUCUAUCUCAGGUCCUUCUGAGUUUUAUGCCCUUAUACCGCACGUGGUAUGGGUAUUAGCAUGCGCAUAGUUUGCUGAAUAUGUUGUUGAUGUUACUGUUGACCAGAUGUAUACCGCAUUAAUGGCUUCACGAUCGCGUUGGCUCAGACGGGGGAUUGGCUAGUUGUACUAAUAAGCCAUGUUUAGAAAUUUCACCUAAAUUAAAAACAUUUAUUUGCUUAUUCGUCGACGCAUUACUUACACACCUAGCUUACGUCUGUAGGUCUAAAAUAUUAUUAUUAUUAUUAUUUUAAUUUUAGA